rnacentral:rRNA from 1 species
GGAGGGUGCAAGCGUUAUUCGGAAUCACUGGGCGUAAAGAGCGCGUAGGCGGUUUCUAAAGUCAGAUGUGAAAGCCCGGGGCUCAACCCCGGAAGUGCAUUUGAAACUUAGGGACUUGAGUAUGGGAGAGGGAAGUGGAAUUCCUGGUGUAGCGGUGAAAUGCGUAGAUAUCAGGAGGAACACCGGUGGCGAAGGCGACUUCCUGGACCAAUACUGACGCUGAGGCGCGAAGGCGUGGGGAGCAAACAGGAUUAGAUACCCUGGUAGUUCACGCAGUAAACGUUGAACACUAGGUGUAGCGGGUAUUGACCCCUGCUGUGCCGCAGCUAACGCAUUAAGUGUUCCGCCUGGGGAUACGGCCGCAAGGCCA